GAUGAACGCUGGCGGCGUGCCUAAUACAUGCAAGUCGAGCGAACGGACGAGAAGCUUGCUUCUCUGAUGUUAGCGGCGGACGGGUGAGUAACACGUGGAUAACCUACCUAUAAGACUGGGAUAACUUCGGGAAACCGUAGCUAAUACCGGAUAAUAUUUUGAACCGCAUGGUUUAAAAGUGAAAGACGGUCUUGCUGUCACUUAUAGAUGGAUCCGCGCUGCAUUAGCUAGUUGGUAAGGUAACGGCUUACCAAGGCAACGAUGCAUAGCCGACCUGAGAGGGUGAUCGGCCACACUGGAACUGAGACACGGUCCAGACUCCUACGGGAGGCAGCAGUAGGGAAUCUUCCGCAAAGGGCGAAAGCCUGACGGAGCAACGCCGCGUGAGUGAUGAAGGUCUUCGGAUCGUAAAACUCUGUUAUUAGGGAAGAACAUAUGUGUAAGUAACUGUGCACAUCUUGACGGUACCUAAUCAGAAAGCCACGGCUAACUACGUG
rnacentral:rRNA from 1 species